GGAGAAGUUUACUACAUAGAAAUGUCAACUUGCACAAUUCCCCAGUUCUCAAUAGUCCUUGAACAGGAUCCAGAUGAUGUGGACUCAUGAGAAAGGGACUGAGCCAUGAUUACAAGUUAGGGUCUACUUCAAGAUCACUUCUACUCAGACAAAUAUUUACUUCCCACAGACAUGGAGCGACACAUUCUGUAAGACAUUACAUUACCUUCCAGUACUUGGAAUCACCUGAUCUGUGUUUGGUUGAUCCGAUAGCUGCCUGAAGUACAGGUCACAAAAAUGAGUUAUCACACUCUUCUGGCAGCACUGAGUGGAAGGAAAAAGCUGUAAGAGAAAUGAUCCAUUGUCCUCAAUUGCAUGAACUUGGAAUGGCAGAUAAGAAGCAGAUCCAUUAUUUCCAUCUGCAGGAGACAGCCAUCUUCUGUCUCCGUGAUCUUUACUGUAGAUAAAGGGCCAGAUUUACCCAACCAGAUCUCUGAUGGGAAACACAGAAGUGUAUGUUCAGAAAGGUAAGGUAAGAAAGGAAAGCUGGAGGCACAGUAUGCUUUCAGAGCUUCAGGUUUUGUUUUAGGAUUAGGAUCCCAGAACAACGUUCAUCUUACGUGGAGUAAGUAAUAGACUUAGAGAAGACAGGAAACUGCAAGACAAAGUAAUGUUUCUGCUCCUCCUUCUCAACUUGAUGUUGCACAUGGAGAAACACUGAAGAGAGCCAAUGAUGGAGGGGAAGAAGAUGGUGCUCCAAGCUGGAAAGCCAACCCUCUUCUCAUGUUUUCCUUUCUUCAGUCCUCACUGUAAUAACCCAUCAGCAAUACUCUGGGCUCCACCGAACUCCAUGGGCUCACAUAGACCCACAGAAAAACUGGGAAAAAUCAAAGGCAGCUUUGGGUUUCUGGGGAGCGUAUUUUGGACUACAGCUCCAGAAAGCUUUACAGUGACAAUACUUGACUGUCCUUCAGGAAGAAAACUCUAGGAUUUUUGGUUUCACUUUCAAUAAGAAGCUCUAAAACUGUCACUGUUCUCCCACGAGAAAAAUAAUUCUUGACACGUAAUUUUGUGUCAUUAUGGCAAUCCACCAGAGUUCUGCCUCAGCAAUCACUCAGGGAUGUAGAUGCUGCAUCCAGAUUGCUGAUGUCUGUGAUGUCUUUGCCACCAGGAUCAGACCCACUGGAGAAAGUGAGGCCAGGAUGCGCUCCAGCUUCCCACAACACCCUGGUGGAAUUGGAGCUGUUCAUGUUCUUGGACUGGGACUAACUCCUCUCCUGAUUUAUCCUAAACCCAAAGAAGGCAUCAAGUGCAGCAUCAUGGGCUUUUUUGUGUACCAGAGAGAAGAGCUCAGCAGAGGGCACCAACUAUGUCCAAAGAGCCCUUUGAUGGAAAUAAACAUUGGUAGUUAUGGAGAUAUUCUAGAUAUGACCUCAUUAACCAGAAAUGGAAGGCUUUCUAUAUAAGCCAUUUACUCAAGUAAAAUUAUGCCACAGGAAGGAAUAUGCUUACUUUCACCGUCUCUAUUUAUUAAAAACAUUGUUAACAUGUUCCUUGAUAACUUGAUUUAUGAAGUUUAUGACAAAUUGCUUUCUUAAUUGAAAUAUGUCAGGUUUCUCAAUACUGAAGUUAAUUAUUGCUUCUUUUCUAGUUGAAAGCUGACCUUUAAUUAUACAAUAUUAAUCCACAUAUUGUAUGAAUUAUGUGAAAUAUCCAUUUUGUAUGUAGAGGGAGACAUGCAUGUGUUAUUGUAGUGGAGUACAGUUACAUAAUUAUUUUUAAUUUAGGAUAUCAGCUUAAUUAAAUACUUGCAGAAAUGAAGCUUUUUCAGGAAAUUUGCAAUUACAAUCAAUUUGAAUGUACAGCUACAUUAAUAUGGUGACAAGCCCAAUAAUAAAAACGAACUAAGUAAUUAUGGGCAGGUGCUGAACAGAUGUGUAAAUACAAGGUCUCUGCAUGGAACAUAGUUAUAUAUCAUUUUGAAAAGCAAAAGAAACCUGUUAUCCAUAGCCAUUCGUAUAUGCAGCCAUAAUCAGUCACAAAAAAGUUAGUUCUUUCAAUUUAGAUAAAUCACUUAAAAAUGUGUAUGGCACUUAGGCUUUCAUUUUCUGUUUCUGGAAAGAAAGUCUAGUUGAUUGAAGACUGCUGCUCUACUGUACUCAAAGAGUCUGCCGCACUAUUGAAAUACAUUCUUCUUUCAACACGUUUAUGAUGAGUGGGUUUUCAGUUUGGAAUGGUUUAACAGUCAAAACAAUUCACAUUCCAUAUUACAAGUUGAGCUUUAUUUAAAGAAGGAGAGAGGCUAAGACUAGUUUAGGGUUGUUUGCUCAAGUUAUCAGGUUGC